AUUGAACGCUGGCGGCAGGCCUAACACAUGUAAGUCGAGCGGAUGAAGGGAGCUUGCUCCUGGAUUCAGCGGCGGACGGGUGAGUAAUGCCUAGGAAUCUGCCUGGUAGUGGGGGAUAACGUCCGGAAACGGGCGCUAAUACCGCAUACGUCCUGAGGGAGAAAGUGGGGGAUCUUCGGACCUCACGCUAUCAGAUGAGCCUAGGUCGGAUUAGCUAGUUGGUGGGGUAAAGGCCUACCAAGGCGACGAUCCGUAACUGGUCUGAGAGGAUGAUCAGUCACACUGGAACUGAGACACGGUCCAGACUCCUACGGGAGGCAGCAGUGGGGAAUAUUGGACAAUGGGCGAAAGCCUGAUCCAGCCAUGCCGCGUGUGUGAAGAAGGUCUUCGGAUUGUAAAGCACUUUAAGUUGGGAGGAAGGGCAGUAAGUUAAUACCUUGCUGUUUUGACGUUACCAACAGAAUAAGCACCGGCUAACUUCGUGC
rnacentral:rRNA from 1 species